rnacentral:lncRNA from 1 species
CACCUUAGGCCUUGUUUGGAUGUAGUCGGAUUCGCAUCAAUCCACAUGUAUUGGAGUGAAUUGGAGUGGAACUUGAACUAAAUUCCACUCCAACACAUGUGGAUUGAGGUGAAUCCGACAACAUCCAAACAAGACCUUAAUUCACACCAACACACAUGGAUUGAAGUGAACCCGACAACAUCCAAACAAGCCCUCGUAUCCGUGUAUUAUCUGUUCCACUUCAAAUCUCUCAAAAUAUAAGUGCUUUGAGAUACAGAGAAGAUAUACUACGCGUAUCGAUCCGCUCCGUCCGCGCUACGGUACGUAUUUUCGUCUCUGUGGUGAAGGACCAAUAUAAUGAUACUUACGUGCACAUAUAUACAUCGUCAUACAGGAGCUCCGAGCUCCGCGGUGACGGCGCGGAUGGUUGCGCGGGUCGCACUCCAUCGACGUGAUGGUGAUGGUGCUGCUGACCUUGGCGACGCGCGCCCGCCGCCGUUGGUGUACACACAAGUGGAUGUAGAAAACUCCAGGCCACGGGAGUAAGUAAGCCGACGCCUCGCUAGCUGAUGAUGAGCCAUUGAGCCUGGCAUUCGCCCAUUCAGGCGGCCUUUUGGAGACGUCGUUGUUGUUGUACACUUUUUAUUGAGCUGGCUAGCUAGCUACUACUCUACUAUAGAAACCAACAAGACACUACAUGCAUACUUGCAUCCUGGAAAGUAAGAAAAUAAAUUAAAUGCAUACGCUUACCUCUUAAAAAAACAAAAAAAAAAUAAAUGAAAAUGCAGUACAAAUGUAGACACUUAUAUUGGGUCAGUCUCAAUGGUGAGUUUUAUGGUGUUGUUUUCAAAAGUAUUAUGUCAUACGAAAAUGAAAUGAAACUAGGAUGAAACAUCUCCACUUUUAAUGGAGAGUUUCAUUCUAUGAUUUCAAAAUCAUUUAAUUUUAAAACUUAUAGAGACUUGGUAACUGUGUUAAGAGAGUUUCAUAACUCAUUUGUUCUCUCUCUUGUUAAAUACAUUGUCAUGUCAUAAAAAAUACCUAUGUAACAAUCUAUUUAAUAUAAAUGAAACUCACAUUGAAACUAACCUUAGCUUAUCCAUGACACACACAAUAUCCUAUCUUAUAAGCACCGCCCAAAGGCUGACCUAGAUUGCAGGGCGUCUCAUUGUUGAUAGAUAUGUGUCAUUUACCGCUCAAAGAAUAAUAGUUUCCACCACAAAAAACUUAACUAGCAUAAAACGACUCUUAUAUGUGGCUAGGAAAUUAAAGGAAGCAAGUGCAACUCCAUCAGAUUGAUUAAAACCAAUCCUCAUUUUCUAUAACAAGCAAAAAGGGAAAUAGGGGAUCAACGCUAGAAAAUAUGCUCCAACACAUUCCCUUUCCAAUCCCCUUCUCUUAAUUUUUUCUCAAAUCCCUCGAAAUCCCCUCCCUCCCACAAAUAUAGGUGAAGAAAAGUCUGUUUUUCUUAACCCCCCCUUCUUUUACCUCCCCUCUCACUGCCAUAGGGCUCAACACUCCCACUACACUGCGCGUUGUAUCGGGCCACUACUGAGCUUCGCCUAUGGUAAGCUUUGUGUUGGCCAUGCAGCGACGGAGCCAGCGUGGGGCUACUGUGGCUCCAACCCCGGCCCCCUAUGGCCGC